GCUCAUAUUCCUUUAUUACGUACAUGAAAUAUAAAAACAAACGAACAAAGCAAUAUAUAUAUAUUUUUUGCAAGUCCACAGGACCUCAGGGAAAAAUAUGUUCCAUAUGUGAAGUUAAUCGUAUGGCACUGCGAUUUACAUUUUGUAUAUUCAAGUGCAGAAGAAACUGUAUGUAUAGUUGGUUAUGCCUGGGAACAGAAGGUAGAUAAUUACGAGAACUUGUAUCUGGUGAACCAUCACAUACACAGUGGCAGAAACUGGGUAACUAUGACGACCAUCUAUUGUUAAUAAAGACAAGGAGCAAAAGUGUCUUGACGUUCAGGUUUAAAUACUAAACACAAGACUAUGACAAACUGUGUGUCUACGAUCAUUUUUGUAGUGUACACAAGUGCAUUGCAAAAAAGUGAGCUUUUUAAAAUGUAAAGUCCCUUUCCCCUUUAGCCAAGCAUAUUUCUACACUUAGGAAUUCUUUCUCUUAUUUUAAAGUCUCUUCUCAUUUAAAUUUUUUUUAAACAAAUUUUUUAAAGUUUCAUCGUCUUGGAAUCGAACCUCUAGCCCGAAGCUGAGACUUCAUGAGAACGGAUGCCCUUUCAGGCGCCAUCCUCACGUAGUUUCUCCAAGAAUUCAGAGUUAAAUACGACUUCCUUGGUAGGGUCGCUUUUGUCCACACGCGGCGGCAGUGCUUCUGUUUCAGUGGGUUUUCUUCCUCGUCCUUUCCUGUCCAUCCACAGCGGCCUCCGGGCUCUCACAACACAAGUGGCUGGUAGUAAAGUGCUUUAUACAAGGAGCCAUUAUAUACACGUGGAGAGGGUCCCGUAACCCCCCACAGUCCGACGUUCACACACAACACACAAGAGAAGGCUCUUUUUAAGAAACACCUUUCCUGAUAAUAGAGCUGGGGAUUCUUUAACAUCUCCUUGGUUACUUUUAGUAGCAUCAAAUACAAGCGUUACAUAUCUAAGGCCGGGAGGAGGAGUCCUUGCUAAGGGUACUGUCCUUAAUAGAUCACUGCUAAAUAUCAUGCCGUUAUCAACAUACUCGUAAUAGGUGUGGAUCUGAGAAUCAGUCCCAUAGAAAACAGGUAUGAAAAAAAAAAGAAAACAGGUGUCAGCCUAGGGGAUUUCAUGCCUCUUUAGGAAAAACAAAACAAAACGAAAUGAAAUGAAAGUGUAUGUAAACAUGGGCUCAGAAGGGACAGGGUACCCAAGGCCCAUGCAGGGGAACAUUUCUGUACAUUUUGGCACUUGAAAUAAUUCCAGUUUCAUUCUUGAGGUUUCCUUUCCGUUACGUUUGUAUUUUGCACGCAGGGAAGUGCUAUCAUGUGCUACGCACCUGUAUUGCUAUUUGCAUUCUCUUUUUAAAA